rnacentral:rRNA from 1 species
UAACGCGUGGGAAUCUGCCCUCAGGUACGGAAUAACUCAGGGAAACUUGAGCUAAUACCGUAUAAUGACUUCGGUCCAAAGAUUUAUCGCCUGAGGAUGAGCCCGCGUCGGAUUAGCUAGUUGGUGAGGUAAAAGCUCACCAAGGCGACGAUCCGUAGCUGGUCUGAGAGGAUGAUCAGCCACACUGGGACUGAGACACGGCCCAGACUCCUACGGGAGGCAGCAGUGGGGAAUAUUGGACAAUGGGCGAAAGCCUGAUCCAGCAAUGCCGCGUGAGUGAUGAAGGCCUUAGGGUUGU